UACGGGGGGGGCAAGCGUUGUUCGGAAUUACUGGGCGUAAAGGGCGCGUAGGCGGCCUGGGAAGUUCUGGGUGAAAGCCCCCGGCUCAACCGGGGAAGUGCCUGGAAAACCACUGGGCUUGAGUGCUGGAGAGGAAAGCAGAAUUCCUGGUGUAGCGGUGAAAUGCGUAGAGAUCAGGAGGAAUACCUGCGGCGAAGGCGGCUUUCUGGACAGACACUGACGCUGAGGCGCGAAAGCCAGGGGAGCAAACAGG
rnacentral:rRNA from 1 species